UACUAAAAUUGGAACGAUACAGAGAAGAUUAGCAUGGCCCCUGCGCAAGGAUGACACGCAAAUUCGUGAAGCGUUCCUUAUAGAUUUUUUGUGUUAUUAUUUAUGAUUUUAAUCAUAUUUGAUGCAAUUUUUCAUAUUUUAUACUGUACAGAGUGAAAAAGCCCUGUUUUUGAGGGUGCAGUACGCAGCGCGCCCGCCAGAGUGCAGCAUUGCACUGCAGCCUCGCGCUAGAGCGCGCGUCACUGGAUCAAGUCACAUCUUUAACUCGGGUUUAAACGAGUAACAGGGACAGUAACAUUUUGUUUCCAAGCAAAAAAUGUUGCUUCAAAAAGAAAGAAUGAGAAGACCUCCUGCCCGUUUUGCAGACUUUAUGGUACAAGAACGUGCUCCUCCUCCUCCUUCCUCAUCAACACUAGUUCAACUACUUGGUAAACUGCCCACAGAAAAUGUGACCAACUUUGCCUGCUAUGUUCGUGCUGUCCUACAUGGUCAAAGCUACAACCUGAUUAACUUUUCUGGCUACAAGAAGAGGCUGAAUGUCAAGCGAUGGCUGAUCAAGUUAGUGACUUCCCAAACCCACUCUUGAGUAAGCCUCAAUCAAAGAUCCACACUAACACUCGAACAGUUUUGUACGGCGCUAUUGGCAAUUCUGUUGUAUCAAGAUCCACGAAUAAGCAACUUCAAAUUGUAAGAGAUGGAGAGCAGAGUUUCAAGUAUUUGUGUGUAUACUGUUCCAGUAGAGAGCAUUUAAUUGGUUUGUGUCCCUCUUUUAAAGCUCUAGAAGACGCCAAAAAGGGUGCAUGGAUUAGAGAGAACAAAAGAUGUUGGAGGUGUGGGCUUAACCAUCUGGCUGUUGACUGUAACUUGAAAAAACCCUGUCCACAGUGUAAAGGUCGACACCUUGGUAUCCUGCAUGGAGUUAACUGUCGUGACCAGGAUAAUGGUACAUUCUAUCUUGAUCGACUUGGAGGUUCCGGCAAGGUGCUGCUAAAAGUUGUCGAGUGACUAAAGACCAUUCCUGUUCAUCCUAUACAUCUUGUUCAUUCUAUCCAUCCUGAUCAUCCUAUCCAUCCUGUUAAUCCUGUCCUAUGAACAUCUGUCAUGUGAAUUUGCUCCCUGUAUCUUUGUGCCUUGGGUCAGCCAAAGAAUUCAAGACUCAAGCAUCCUGAAUUAAAUAAAGACUGUAAGGACUAGAACUUUUCCAGUGCUUUAAUCAGACACACCAAGUCUCUACAAUCCUGAUGAACUUUGGAUUUUAACAUCUGAUAUCCAACAGCAACUGAUAGAAUGUGCUUCAAAGGCAGAUAGUGGAGACAAGUGUAACGCGCGCAUCGCGGCGCGGCGCAAGUGUGACCCUCCCUCUAAACAGUAAAUAACGGAAAUGAGCGGAAAAGGAAUACACUGUUUCUAAAUUUGGACCAGCGACCAGAAGAUCAGACUCGCUCAAGAGACUCUGUUAGCAACAAGGGUAGAAAGAAAUGAUGACAACACUGGCCGCAUCAAAAACAGGUAAGAUGUAUUAAAGGAUAUGUCAAUAAUGCAAUAAUAAAAGGAGAAAAAAAUCAAUAAAUAAUAAUAAUAAUGUCAGAGAUUCAAUACAUCAUCAAAACCAAUAAACAGACAAAAAAAAAAAAAUGGAUAUAGUGACCAAAAAGGGGUAAUGGAGGAUGAAAUAAAUGAAAAGAGUAAAAUAAGUAAAUGUAUUCUUCUUAUAACCCUUAUUUAAAUUUUCUAUUGUUCUAUUUAUUUUUCUAUUUUAUUAAUUGUUUGUGUCUUUCUUUUUGACCUAUUUAGAUUCCUUUCUUUCUUUAUUUAUAAAGCACUUUCACACAACUACUAGUUGAUCCAAAGUGCUGUACAAUACGGGUAGAAUAAAAUGAAUAAGAAACAACAAAACAUUGAAACAUCACAUAACAAUACAACAUAAUACGAUUAAACAUGGCUAGAUAAAAGCUAUUGACAUAAAAUGAUUUUUAAGCCGGAAUUUAAAUACAGACAAUUGUUCCAUAGAUUAGGACCAGCAACAGCGAAGGCUCGAUCACCUCUGCAAUGGAGCCUAGAUCUAGGAACAGUGAGGAGACCAAGAUUACUGGAUCUUAGACGUAUUUGGUUUAUAAAUGGAGAUUGCCUCUGAGAGAUAAGGUGGGGCUUGAUUAUGCAAGGAUUUGUAAACAAAUGUUAAAAUUUUAAAACUAAUUCUAAAUUUUACUGGUAACCAAUUUAGUGAAAUAAGAAUGGGUGAGAUGUGGUCGAACCUUCGUCUGCCUGAAAUCAAUCUUGCAGCAGCAUUUUGGACCAUCUGUAAACGCACUAUAGAAGACUGACUUAUACCAUAGUAAAGUGGGUUACAGUAAUGUAGACGAGAUAGAACAAACAAGUGAAUAAUCUGUUCAAACUGUUUAACAGAGAGUGCAGAUUUGAUUUUUGAUAAACGCCGUAAGUGGAAGAAACAUGAUUUGACCACUGCACUAAUUUGUUUCUCAAAAUCCAGGUUGCAAUCAAAAAGUACACCAAGAUUUUUGGCACAAGGUGUAAAGUAGGAAGAGAGAUGACCAAAGUGAGAGGCAAAGUCUUCAUAUGACUUGGAGCCAAACAGACCGUGUCGUAGCUGCUGUUUCUCUCUCUCGCAUCGCGCGUUCUCGCUCGUACUCUCUCUCGCACAGCUCCAAUCAUAGGGCUCUUCUUAUUGGACCAAUCUUAAAUUUGUUUUAUUUGAAUAAUUUUUCAAAUUAGUUUUAUUUAUUUAUUUUUAAUUUAUGCAUUUUCCUAUUUUCUAUUUCACAAAUGUUAUUAAAAUAAAGUGCUGAUUUAUAUAUUCACGAGUGUU